UUUAUGGAGAGUUUGAUCCUGGCUCAGGAUGAACGCUGGCGGCGUGCCUAAUACAUGCAAGUCGAGCGAACGGACGAGAAGCUUGCUUCUCUGAUGUUAGCGGCGGACGGGUGAGUAACACGUGGAUAACCUACCUAUAAGACUGGGAUAACUUCGGGAAACCGUAGCUAAUACCGGAUAAUAUUUUGAACCGCAUGGUUCAAAAGUGAAAGACGGUCUUGCUGUCACUUAUAGAUGGAUCC
rnacentral:rRNA from 1 species